UACGGGGGGGGCAAGCGUUGUUCGGAAUUACUGGGCGUAAAGGGCUCGUAGGCGGCCAACUAAGUCGGACGUGAAAUCCCUCAGCUUAACUGGGGAACUGCGUCCGAUACUGGAUGGCUUGGAUUCGGGAGAGGAAUGCGGAAUUCCAGGUGUAGCGGUGAAAUGCGUAGAUAUCUGGAGGAACACCGGUGGCGAAGGCGGCAUCCUGGACCGACACUGACGCUGAGGAGCGAAAGCCAGGGGAGCAAACGGG
rnacentral:rRNA from 1 species